AACGAACGCUGGCGGCGUGCUCAACACAUGCAAGUCGAACGCGAAAGUCCCUUCGGGGAUGAGUAAAGUGGCGCACGGGUGAGUAAUACGUAGGAACGUGCCCUAUGAUGGGGAAUAACCACGGGAAACUUUGGCUAAUACCGCAUAAUAUCGCAAGAUCAAAGAGGGCCUCUGCUUGCAAGCUCUCGUCAUAAGAGCGGCCUACGUCCUAUUAGCUAGUUGGUAGGGUAAAAGCCUACCAAGGCGAUGAUGGGUAACUGGUCUGAGAGGAUGAUCAGUCACACUGGAACUGAGACACGGUCCAGACUCCUACGGGAGGCAGCAGUGGGGAAUUUUGGACAAUGGACGCAAGUCUGAUCCAGCAAUGCCGCGUGCAGGACGAAGGCCUUCGGGUUGUAAACUGCUUUUGUACGGAACGAAACGGUGAGCUCUAAUACAGUUUGCUAAUGACGGUACCGUAAGAAUAAGCACCGGCUAACUGCGUGCCAGCCGCCGCCGUAACAC
rnacentral:rRNA from 1 species